CGUCUAUAUACGUAUAGCAUAUCAAUAAGCGGAGGAAAAGUAACUAACUAGGAUUCCCUUAGUAACGGCGAGUGAAGCGGGAAGAGCUCAAAUUUGAAAUCUUCAAGGUUCUACCUUGACGAAUCGUAGUUUAAAGAAGUGUUUUCUGUUGGAGUUGGCUAAAAGUUCUUUGGAAUAGGACAUCAUAGAGGGUGAGAAUCCCGUAUUUGGUACAUAUCUUCUAACUUUGUGAUACACUUUCAAAGAGUCGGAUUGUUUGGGAAUGCAGUCCAAAAUGGGUGGUAAAUUUCAUCUAAAGCUAAAUAUUGGCGAGAGACCGAUAGCGAACAAGUACCGUGAGGGAAAGAUGAAAAGAACUUUGAAAGGAGAGUUAAACAGUACGUGAAAUUGUCAAAAGGGAAGCGUUUGACACCAGUGUUGUUUUUCCGAAAAUCAAUUAGAGAGUGUUUUAUUUUUGAGGAGUUAUGACUUCAUCGGCUUGCUCUCUUCUUUACUGAAACUUUCUUAAUGCACUUUUCGGUUAACAAGUCAACAUCAAUUUCUUUUGUUGUAAAAGGGUAAGAGGAAGGUGGCUUUAAUUUCGGUUAAAGUGUUUAUAGCCUUUUACCUCUGCAGUCGGAGAGAUUGAGGUCUGCAGCGUAGAUCCUUCGGGGCUAGAUACGUUUGUGCUAAGUUAUAGCUUUUCAUAGACAACUUGUUGACUAUGUUUAGUCUUGUAGCUUACUCGCUGACGCUAUUUUACCUACGCUUAGGAUGUUGACGAGACUGUCGAUCUC
rnacentral:rRNA from 1 species